GUGAGGGGUCGCGUGAUGUCGUCGUUCCUGUUCUGGGUGUUUCGGCGUGGCAUUGGUGGCUCGGACUGUUCUGACUGUGUGUUUGUGCCUUGCUAGUGACGUCUGGACAUGUUUCUCUGUUUGUACGCCUUGGAAGAUACGACCAGAAGCUGUUGGAUUUCGUGAAUGGAAGACGCUUUUGACAGGUUUGUUUCUGUGCACAAGACAAAUGGGCUGUCGUACUCCCGACGUAGGAAAUGAACACACGUCGCUGAGAUCUUAUAAGACAAAUGUCUCUGGAUGAAGUUCUGGGAGCGCAGCAGUAUGUGGCAACUAUGGGACUUGGCGGCUCCAUCAGCCCUCUGGUCAUUGAAAUUAUACAAGUCUAUAGGAAAGGAAGCGCACUGGGCCACUCUAUCGUCUUCCAGUGGAUCCCGGGUCAUGUGGGCAUCAAUGGAAACGAGGACGCAGAUCGAACAGCCGCAGGCGCGCAUCAGUACACCCCGUGUAUCCUCAUCAUCUUGUCCGGGGGAACCGCCGUUACCUCGUCUCAAGCCUUACCGGGCCCAAGAUGCACUCUCAAUGGCAACACGACAUCACCACCCACUCUCUGCUUUACUCCGUAGAGCCCACAUUGUUCCUUACUCUCCCGCGCCGAAUGUCACCCAGUCAACACACUAUUGUAAAUUCGACGUAGAAAAAACGUUGUAUAUCAACGAAAUGAAUGUUGAAUCGACGAUGAAAGCGAACGUGAAAUCAUGAUGUCAAAUGUCCGCUCGAAAACAUGUUAAUUUAACAAGUGCCGAUCAACGUAAAUUUAACGUAUAUGAAAUGCAGUUUAUAUGUGAAUACAACGUACCAGACUGUACGACAUGAGAGCAUAAAAUAAACAGCGCUUUACAACGUUU